CUGCCCCGGCUGGACCGGCGCGCGGCGGCGCGCUACUACCUCACGGGGGAGCGGUUCGACGCCGCCGAGGCGGCCC
rnacentral:tRNA from 1 species